rnacentral:rRNA from 1 species
AUUGAACGCUGGCGGCAUGCUUUACACAUGCAAGUCGAACGGCAGCACGGACUUCGGUCUGGUGGCGAGUGGCGAACGGGUGAGUAAUACAUCGGAACGUACCCAGUAAUGGGGGAUAACUAUCCGAAAGGAUAGCUAAUACCGCAUACGCCCUACGGGGGAAAGAGGGGGAUCGCAGGACCUCUUGUUAUUGGAGCGGCCGAUGGCUGAUUAGCUAGUUGGUAGGGUAAAGGCCUACCAAGGCAACGAUCAGUAGCGGGUCUUAGAGGACGAUCCGCCACACUGGAACUGAGACACGGUCCAGACUCCUACGGGAGGCAGCAGUGGGGAAUCUUGGACAAUGGGCGCAAGCCUGAUCCAGCAAUGCCGCGUGCGUGAAGAAGGCCUUCGGGUUGUAAAGCGCUUUUGUCAGGGAGCAAAUCCUUGUGGCUAAUACCCACCGGGGAUGAGAGUACCUGAAGAAUAAGGACCGGCUAACUACGUGCCAGCCGCCGCGGUAAAAC